CUACCGCUGCUGCAUGAACGCCACUGUCUCCUUCUCCUUCCUUGCCGGGUAUUAAGAGAGGAGCGGUCGGAAGGAAAAACACCUCUUCCUGCAAAACGCCCCGCAGCAGUCCAGCUAGCCGGGGCGGCCCCGUGAUUCGCCACCGAGAACAGCUUCAAGGGCCUUCCUCUCUUGCAGCCCCGGCGCGCGGGACGGAAGAUGGGAACCCAGCCGGAGUGGUUUUGUUUUGUUUUGAUGCCAGCUGCUGCUGCUGCUGCCGCCGCCGCCGCCGCCUUGUCAGCUGCUUCCCUCCCAAGAACAACAACAACGCCUAAUUCUCAACAACUGCAUCAUGCUGCGAACCCUCUCUGAACACAACUCCAAAAAGCAGCACUUGCAAGACUGAUGUCAGCAGAAGUAGUUGUGACAAGAAGUAUCCCCUGAAGUACUAAUUCUAUCUUUAUUAUCUCCAAUAGGGUUCUAGCUGAUCAUGGUUAUGCCACUGAGAAAAGGAUGAAACUGAAGCUUGGAAAGACAAGAAAAAAUAAUUGAGAACUUGUCAAGAAUUCAAGUCUUCAGCAUCAGAUGGACUACUGGUAAUCUUUAAGAACUCCCAUGAGAAUAACAAAGUUACAGAAGAUUGGAAGAACACAAAUAUGAUCUCCAUCUUUUAAAACGAAAAUAAUAGGUCUCAAUAAACUACCGUCCUCUA